CUUUCGCUCUGAUUUGGCCAUAGGUGGGUUUAGAAUCAAAUUCUAAGCAAACGAUAGAAUUUUUACCUCGUUUGGCGGCCAGAAAUUGCUCUGGUACGGCGGCAGGUGGCGGCGGACGGCUCCCUGGUAGCUGGGCUGUCUUCUCCAGCGAGGGGCUCUGGCGGCUAGGGUUAGGGUUUGGGUGCGGAUGAGGUUAUUUAUAUCCAUAUGCUUUUGAUCUGAGCCGUCCAUUGUUUUUAAUCUGGACCGUCCGAUCGCGAUUAAAUAGGGAAUGGAUCUAGGUCGUUUAAUCACGAUUUAAUCUAGACCGUCCGUACGC
rnacentral:lncRNA from 1 species